CACGCACUACGAGAAGGGGAGUUUGAUCUUGUCUCAUUGGCGUCUCGGGUCUGAAAGGAAAAUCGUUUGGGUAAACAGCCAAGCUUCCAGGCUUAACGCCCGGCUCCCGCCCCCGCCCCUCCAUCCCCUCCAGCCUCCCCCACUCCCCUUCAACGCCACCCGCCACCCACACUCGGCUCCGCAGCCGGGCCCCGAGCGAGCUCCGCGAGUCCUGGCGGGAGUCGAGGGCUCCCCGGGUUCAAAGGGCCGCAGCCCAGAGGGAACGCCCUCCUUGCUGUGCCCCGGGGGGCAGAAGCGGACUGCUGGGCGGUGGGACCGGCCUGGGCCACGCUCCGCGCCCCUCCCAGCCUUCCCGCCCUUAGCCGGGAAAGGACUCUGAGAUGACAUCACCACAGAGACCCGCGGCCUCCCCGCCCCCGGCCCCGGGACCCCGGAGCGGAGAUUGACAGGUGUCGCUCGUUAGGACAAUGCCUUCCAGGGAUCAGCGCGGUCUCUGGACUUCCCUGUCUUCGCUCUCCACCCCCGCUCCCCCCGCAACGCACACAUAAUAUAACAGACGCGAAG